AGAAAACGACUUUGAUACAGAUACGCCACAACUUAAGCAAUACAUAGGAAAAAUGGAUACGGAAAAGUCAAGAGAAGGAAAUCAGGAGCAGCCUUCGACGCCCACAGCACUGGCCCC